ACGGGAGGCAGCAGUGGGGGAUAUUGGGCAAUGGGCGAAAGCCUGACCCAGCAACGCCGCGUGAAGGAAGAAGGCCUUCGGGUUGUAAACUUCUUUUGUCAGGGACGAAGGACGUGACGGUACCUGACGAAUAAGCAACGGCUAACUACGUGCCAGCAGCCGCGGUAAUACGUAGGUUGCAAGCGUUGUCCGGAUUUACUGGGUGUAAAGGGCGUGUAGGCGGAGCUGCAAGUCAGAUGUGAAAUCCCGGGGCUCAACCCCGGAACUGCAUUUGAAACUGUAGCCCUUGAGUAUCGGAGAGGCAAGCGGAAUUCCUAGUGUAGCGGUGAAAUGCGUAGAUAUUAGGAAGAACACCAGUGGCGAAGGCGGCUUUCUGGACUGUAACUGACACUGAGGCUCGAAAGCGUGGGGAGCAAACAGGAUUAGAUACCCUGGUA
rnacentral:rRNA from 1 species